AAGGAACUCCUGGGGUGGCCGCAUGGGCCUUCUGAUGGAUUAAGAGCAUUUCCCCAUUUUCUUCCCAUGUAUCCAAAACCAAGGAUGCCACACACUUCAUGAUUCAGUUGCUUCAGUGAGGUUUCUGCCUGAUGAAAUCACCAGAGUGAACAUGUGUCCCUGGGAGACCUGGACCCAGACAAAGACUAUGUUUCCCAGCCCCACUGACAUGUAGUUAGCUGCGAUGAACUUUGAUGCCUUGCAAGAUGGUCAAGAUACAGCAUACAAGGAGCUUUGGUUCGUAAAUGACCACAGAGGGAAGCCCCCCUCUGACCAUGUAACACACACAUAGAAAAAAAAAAAAAACCACUAUUGUGUUAAUAAGC